rnacentral:rRNA from 1 species
UACGAAGGGGGCUAGCGUUGCUCGGAAUCACUGGGCGUAAAGGGUGCGUAGGCGGGUUUUUAAGUCAGGGGUGAAAUCCUGGAGCUCAACUCCAGAACUGCCUUUGAGACUGAGUGGCUUGAGUACGGGAGAGGUGAGUGGAAUUCCCAGUGUAGAGGUGAAAUUCGUAGAUAUUGGGAAGAACACCGGUGGCGAAGGCGGCUCACUGGCCCGUAACUGACGCUCAUGCACGACAGCGUGGGGAGCAAACAGG